UAGGGAAUCUUCCACAAUGGACGAAAGUCUGAUGGAGCAACGCCGCGUGAGUGAAGAAGGUUUUCGGAUCGUAAAACUCUGUUGUUAGAGAAGAACACGAGUGAGAGUAACUGUUCAUUCGAUGACGGUAUCUAACCAGCAAGUCACGGCUAACUACGUGCCAG
rnacentral:rRNA from 1 species